UCACUCUCUUGUUCUUCUGAGAUGGAUUUCUUCGCGACAUUUCCGGUGUAUCGAAGAAGCGCGUCGCGAUGGAUCAAGAAGGUUGUCGGAAGCGGUUCAUGUUCCGGCGGGUGUAAGCGGAAGGGCGUCGAUGAUGGAGAAGCGUCCGGGAAUCGGAACAAGAGGAGGAAUUCCCGGAGUUCUUCUCUUCUCCGUUGUUCGUUUCUCUUCGAGGGUCGUGAUUGUUUGUUAUAUUUGCGAGCAUUUUGGGUUAGCGAGCGCGUAAUCAAGUGGAAUUUGGACAUUGGAGGGCAAAAUCGCUGGUUUCACGUUGGGCGGUGAUGGAAUCAGAGGUCCUUUGGAUCUGGACGUCAGAGAUCUUGUCAAAAGCCAGUUAGCUGUUUCUUACUUGGGCACGGCCAAUCGAGGGAAUGCGGGUUGCAAUUACCUGGUAUCCUGGAUGAACUGCUCAGGUACUAUGCUAUUGGGUUCAGCUGGAGUGAAUCAUCUAACAAAGCUGGUAAAUGCAUGUGUCAGUUUGGUAAUAUUUGAGUAUUUAGAUACCGGUAUGGGAAAUGGAGCCAGAUUCAGCUGAAGGACAGGCUCAGAUUAGUGAGCUAUGAUCCUGUGCUCCGGGGAGUCCCUAAAGGAAGCUACGCAAAUAACCCAAAUGGUGCAUGCCUUAUACCGGAAUUUAGACAAAUGGUUCAGGUAAGCAUUUCUCCGAUAUUCUCUUCCAGGGAAAAAAUGAUGGCUAUAACUGGGGGUAGUUUCUUUCUAAGCAAGUCGCCUCCAUCGAAAAUUUCUUCUUUAGUGAAGGUAUGAUCAUGUGCACUGUGGAGUCCUAAAGGGAGCCAAGUAAUUUAGAAAAAUUGUUUUGGUAAGCAUUUUUCCAAUUUUCUAUUCCAGGAAAGAAACCGAGUUAAAAGUGUAUACUCGUUCUGGUGAUGGGCAUCUGUGACGAGGCUUAUAUUGAUGUAACAAUUCUAGUAAUUCAUAUUGUUUUUUUUUUAUUGUAUGGUUUGCUCUUUAUAGAUUAUUUUGGCAGACUCUAUACCAUAUUGGUCUCCGCAUUUUGCUAGAUGUUGUCUACAACCACUUGUAUGCAAAUGGGCCACAUGACAGAACCUCUGUUGUUGAU